AGUGAACGCUGGCGGUAGGCCUAACACAUGCAAGUCGAACGGCAGCACAGUAAGAGCUUGCUCUUACGGUUGGCGAGGGGCGGACGGGUGAGGAAUACAUCGGAAUCUACUUUUUCGUGGGGGAUAACGUAGGGAAACUUACGCUAAUACCGCAUACGACCUACGGGUGGAAGCAGGGGAUCUUCGGACCUUGCGCGAUUGAAUGAGCCGAUGUCGGAUUAGCUAGUUGGCGGGGUAAAGGCCCACCAAGGCGACGAUCCGUAGCUGGUCUGAGAGGAUGAUCAGCCACACUGGAACUGAGACACGGUCCAGACUCCUACGGGAGGCAGCAGUGGGGAAUAUUGGACAAUGGGCGAAAGCCUGAUCCAGCCAUACCGCGUGGGUGAAGAAGGCCUUCGGGUUGUAAAGCCCUUUUGUUGGGAAAGAAAAGCAGCAGGUUAAUACCCCGCUGUUCUGACGGUACCCAAAGAAUAAGCACCGGCUAACUUCGUG
rnacentral:rRNA from 1 species